GCCUGGUUAGCUCAGUCGGUAGAGCGUGUGGCUUUUAAGACGUUUAGAAGAAUAUUCUUUCUGUCUGUAGAAACCUCAAAGUCACGGGUUCGAGCCCCGUAUCAGGCU